CGCCCGCCGCCUCGCGCUGCUCGGAGCCCAGCAGCGCCAGCGACACGAGCAGCUUGCUGCGCACCACCUCGUCCGUCAGGACCAGCAUUCCACGAGGACAUCUGUGCAGAACCAUCAGACUAUCCCUGGCUGUAAAAUACAAUAAGGCCAUACUGGCGUGUCCCAGUGGAAGCUCUGCUUCUGAUUCCGGUUGACACUGAAUGCCAGCCGUUUUCCCUAUCCAUGCACUUUUCCCCAUGAUGACACCCAAAAGGCCCUUCUGACAUGAUGACACCCAAAAGAGGCCCUUCUGACAUCUAGGGACAAAAGGAUGAACAGACAUCGAGGGACAAGAGGCUGAACACUGGAAAACCUGAGACUAGAAGACCUGACUGUUGAUCAAUGAUCUUUUAGAGGAAUGAUCUUGAUCAAGAGGGGGCAAUGAUAAAAGUGAACUGGCAUUUUGUGAUGCUUGACUAUAGAGUUGGAAGGACUGUGGGUGCAGCUGGGCCCCUUGUUAACUGUGACCCUGACUCCAUGUUUAACUUUGUGAUAGCUUCAUGGGGAAGGGAUGAUAUAAAUAGAAAGAGUCAUCUUGAAAUAACUCUCCAUUUCUCCACGUGGGCAGCCGGUUGGAGCGCGGUGGUGUCGGAGUUGUGCAUGGGCCUCCGGCAGGAGCCUCCGGUACCAGAGGCCAUGCAGUUUCUUGCAUUGUGGUGGUAGCUUGUUUCUUUUUUCCCCCCAUCCUCCGAAUAAACCCUUUUCUUUUGUGCAUCA